ACCGCAAGAACAGAGGAUGCAUGAAACUUCCAGGAUUUAUUCUUGAUAUCGAGGACGCACCAAUGCAGACUUGAGCACCGAUCUCGCUCUAGAAGUUCCAGAGAAGUCAUUGCAACUGGAGUCGGCCAUACAAUGCUCACCCUGACAUUGCUGGUAACAUGGACAAUUAAGCUGAAAGAAGAAAAAAAAGUGGGCUCCCUAAUGGGCCACAGUAUUCGAACACUGGUUUGAAACCUACAGGUAAGUGUGUUGAAGCAGGAUUGGAACUAAACUCAGCAGGACUAUGGUCCUCCAGGAACUAAGCUUGUAGGUGAGUUUCUACCUACUGUAUCCUUUAUUCUAUUGGUUUUCAUAGUUUUGUUUAUGCAUAGUUAUUUAAUAUUGUGUAACCAUAUAUUUUAUUACUAGCUUGAUAUAAUAAUUUAAUAACUCUCAAUAAUAAUGUUUAUUAUAAAUUAUAUGUUUGAUUGGACAGUGGAGAAGAAAUAGAAAACAAAGCAUAUUAUAUGUUUCGUGUUAAUUUAUUAUAAUUAUUUAUUGUUAUAGCCUUACUAUUACAUGUAUUUUUUUAUGUUAUUCUGAUGUAACUUCAAAAAAACAUGUCAAACCAUCACAUCUUUAACACCAUAGCUCAUUUCCCACCAGCAGAUGAGUGCAUUUAUUGGAUUAUGCAGCGUUUGAAAGGAACUUUUCCUGGUAAUAGUUGUGGUCAUGACUAAGCCAUUGCAACAAUCAUUCAUCUUCAUUCCCCUCUGGCUAUAAUGUUCAUCUCCCGCUGAGAAUUCGCAACAAUUUUCGUGGCCACAAACAUGUUUUGCUCUGCAUGUGUGUACUUGCAACCAGGGCAAGCGAUGUUGUUGGGCCUUUUCGCAGAAUCACAUGUGAAGGUAUGUGAAACUGCUGACAACAAUCUGUCCGUGCGAAGAGCUCGUUUUGAUCUCUGGAACACUUGCGGUGGAUUUCCAGAGCGCUGAAGGUGUACGGUAGGAAACGAAGCAUUCCUGUGCACUUAACUACAAAACAAAAGAGGAAAACAAAGUCCAACUCAAAGCCUCCACUUCACAUUCUCCACACUAGACGAGGAGCAUGUUUCCUUCUCGCUCUCAAGUACAUUCACAAAAUUCUUUUUCACAUUGUUGGGUUUGCACGUCCCUCCCUCUCGAGCUGGCGGUGGGGGGAAGGCUAGAGCGACGGGACUCUGUUAAAAUCAUUUCCAAAUUCCUGCAAUGAUGUGUGUCGGGACUGAGGCACAUGAAGAAUCUAUUAGGGGGCCUCUCUAUUGCACUCUGGGAAGGUGGCCAACUCAGCCGCCGGACAAUGGAAAUCCAGCUCAACAAUAACAUCCUGCCUGGGGAAUGGAGGGGGGUGGAAACAGAGAAGGAUGCCAUUGAGGUCACAGUCAUCUAGUGAGGGUUUUCUUCAGAAAAGCAUGCAGUAAACUCUGUCUACCUGCAGAAAACACCAUGCAUUAGAGCAGUUUGCUCAGGGUUCGGAUUACCGCUGGAAUAAACUAGCCUCCACACAAUGUCGGAUAGUUUUUUGUGAACUUCCUUCAAAACUUUGCAGUUAUAAAUCGGAAAAGGAACAAAAUCAGCAUGCCAUUCAUCUCUCAGUGCUUGAAUUUCACUUGUUGUACAACUCUUGUUUCACGAGAGCAUGAAAUGCAGCAUUCGUGACUAAGGGUGUGUUCAUAAUUGGCAGCUUUGGAUUGAUUGAAAUGAACUCAAUUGCUCGGUUUGUGCAGUUCAUUUCAGUAAGGCUAUGACCAUGCGGCAAUUAUCAAGCUUUAUUUCAUACUGCAGAUUCUGAAAGUCUACAUCCAUACCCAAAUCAUUUGAAGAAAGGUCUGCGUACAGAUGGAAACAAAAAAACUGGUUUAAAAUGUUGUGAGCAUGAAGACCAGCUGGCUGACUAUGGACAAUAACACAAGAAGAUGUCUGAGAAUGCACAAAUAUUGAAAAAUAGCUGAUGCAGCUAACUUGUAAUGCGUCUAGCCAUCUAGUUGAUACAGUUUUGUUGUAACAGUGCUAAUAAACUUAACAGCAUCUGCAGCACAA